GGAAGUUUUGUUUUUCUAGCUGCCUUCUUGUUGCUGCCCCAAAGGUUUGUGGUGAAGGACACACGUUCACGUCUCCUGUUGUACCUGCUUGUGCCACAAGUGUUUGACAGCACUGUUCCCAUCUCCAAAGGAGCUCUUUGUUGUCUGUGUAAUCUCUGACUGGAUUAAGUGGCAAAAGGCGAAUCCUCAGCUUAUGGGAAGAGCACACUUGACCUCUGCUUCCUUAGAGUUGCACUCUCCCUGGGGAGGAAGUGUUGGCUCAGCCCUGAACAAAGCGCUGGCUGUGAUGAGUGAGACUUUCUUGUCCUAGCAGUGUGGGGUUGGGCUGGGGGUCAGAUCUGUGCUGCAGUGAGAAGGAAGAGACAGAAGACCCGGUGACCUGGAAGCUUAGAGGUAGCCAGCUCAACUUACUGAGAAAUGUGAAGCUGCAUGAACCCCUCCAUCAGCAGAAACGCGCUGUCUGGGCAGGUGGUCCCACUGGCACAUCCAGAUAUGAAUUUUCUUGGCAAGAUGCAAAUGAGAUUCCUUUCCUGUUUUCCAACCCAUUCUCCUCUGCUGUGUCUUGCAGUACUUCUCAUCCUGAAAUGUGUUGCAUUCUUUGCAGGUUCUCCAAGUCCCAUGGAAGACAUCACUGGUAGUAAACCGUGCCCUUGUAUGGGCUUAAGACAAUGCUACGUGUGCUCAAUGCCUCUUCCAUCAAAGUGUUCUGAACUUGGAACUACUUUGAAUUGGUGCCUCUAAAGAAUAGAUACCUGUGCAGACCUCAGCCGUGGGGGAAGUGAAGUGGCCUCCCCUUCAGGGAGGGGCAGUCCAGGAGAAGGGAGCAGAGCAGUGAGCACUGCAGGAUGAGAGCACUGCCUUACCUGCAGGUGGACCAGCAGAUGGAAGGUGAGUGCAGACUACAGACUCUGCCAGCUGCCAGCCAAGCUGCUGCUGGGUGCCAGUCAGGGAAAGAGUGGUUUUUGGGAGUACAUCUGUAUCUAGUGUCACUUGCUUUACCGCUGGGAGAAGGUUUGCUCAUCAGCUGCUGUGAGCUCAGACCUGGGGCACCCAAUGGUCUUUUGGGAAGCAACAGCUAUCGCGCAACCCAAGCAGACCUCCUGCUCUGGCAGCUUACGUGUCUUCUGCACCCCUUGUCCCCAUGUCCCUCAUGCUCCUAAGUGUUAGCUGUGCUUCUGUUGGCAAGGGAUGGCUGGGAAGACAACC
ensembl:lncRNA